AUUGAACGCUGGCGGCAUGCCUUACACAUGCAAGUCGAACGGUAACAGGUCUUCGGAUGCUGACGAGUGGCGAACGGGUGAGUAAUACAUCGGAACGUGCCUAGUAGUGGGGGAUAACUACUCGAAAGAGUGGCUAAUACCGCAUGAGAUCUACGGAUGAAAGCAGGGGAUCGCAAGACCUUGUGCUACUAGAGCGGCCGGUGGCAGAUUAGGUAGUUGGUGGGAUAAAAGCUUACCAAGCCGACGAUCUGUAGCUGGUCUGAGAGGGCGAUCAGCCCCACUGGGGCUGAGAAACGGCCCAGACUCCUACGGGAGGCAGCAGUGGGGAAUUUUGGACAAUGGGCGCAAGCCUGAUCCAGCAAUGCCGCGUGCAGGAUGAAGGCCUUCGGGUUGUAAACUGCUUUUGUACGGAACGAAAAGCCCCGGGUUAAUACCCUGGGGUCAUGACGGUACCGUAAGAAUAAGCACCGGCUAACUACGUGCCAGCCGCCGCGGUAA
rnacentral:rRNA from 1 species